rnacentral:lncRNA from 1 species
GGUUCUUGCAGCAGACAUUUAUCAUUGCUGGUUUCGAUUCAUGCAUUGUAGCUUUGGUGAGUGUUAUUGUGUCAACGAUAGUGAAUAAUUUCCAGCACCACAUUAUGUCCAGAUUAGAGUCUGCAUCGAUUGCUGAUCAAAAUCUCAGACCAAGGUUUGCUGCAGGUAACUGAAACCAUGGAGAGCAAAACUGUCCAUAGGGGGAAUCCAUUGCAUUUUCAGAAACAUUCCUAGGUGGUUGAGGAGGGUGACUUACGACUUCCUCUCAAAGAUAUCUAAACCAAGACGUCUUCAACUUUAGCCUGCAUAUGCAUCACCUGGAAAUCGAGGUGUAGGGUGGGCCCUGAGUUUGCCUUUCUAAGGAGAGAUGCUAACAAGAUCUGGACCAUCAGCCACUCAAGACCUUUAACAUGUUUCAUACCUGUCGACACCCUGAUACACCUUGGCCUCUGAAAUACUUUACAAGCUUUGCUAAAGAACACGUUCAUAAUGUACCAGUUCUUUAGCACUGAUUCCCUUAGGGAAAUCUGUUCUUCAAGGCAAGUUUCCCAUUGCAGUUCUCUAUCAACCUGGCGGGGUAAGUUACUGCCAAUCAUUGACCAAGCAGCACAGAUCGGGAGAACUCCGUACCUUGGCUCUAUAAGCAACAUCACUGUUCAGAAUGGUCAUCCGAAGCAUGCACAUUGGAGAUACUAUGAACUCUGAUCACGUAAAUGAAGGAUUCACUGUACUUUUUAUUCCCUGUCCUUCAAGAGCCAGGUGAAUGCCACGUCCUCUUCAGAGCCUUCCUGGAUGUCACAGCCGACCAUUGCUGGGGCUCAGAAAAAGCUACCUGAACAUAUGGCGCUCUGGCCUGCAGAGUACUUUGAACUGGAGGAGAUUGGAAGGCUUCAGCAACGGCCUCAGCACUAAGAUCUCUCUGACCUUCUCUUGCCCUUGUGUCUCGCUCCUCUUUCUCCCCUAAGCACAGGGAGGGGCUGUCCCUGAACUUUCCUUGUCUCCUUAAAGAUAGAUCUAAAAAGGAACUCAGUUUCUC